CAUUAUAAUCCCCCAUUAACAUCCACUUCUUGUUCCUAAACAUCGGAGCAUCAUGAUGAUUUCUCAUCUCUUCCCAUAAACUCCUGCUCUCUUCCAUGGUAUUAUAUGCGUAAAUGAACAAGCAGAAAAAUUAUUCACUGAACAAGUUAUGAUUUGAGCACUCUUGUACACAGGAGUUAUCAUCACAGUAGAUCUCCAAAAACAACCCAUAAAUGACCUAACCGAUUAUAUUUGUAAUUCGCCAUAAAAUUCCACCCAACAAAACCUCUUCCACAAUCUUUCCUCCUUUCUUCUCCUUUACCCUUAUUUCUAUAAGACAUCCAAAAUUUAAUUCUUGAUCACUAGCCAAUUUCCUCACCACCGCAUGCUUAGUUGCUUUAUUAAAACCUCUCACAUUCUAAAAGAACCCCACCAUUAUUGAUGAUUUUUGCGGCAGCCCCAAAUUUUUUAUCUCCAACUUGAAUUGAAGUCUCUGAUGGUAGAACUUUGUGGUUGGUCUUCGACAUUCUAGGAAGCAUUUGCCUUGAAUUGCUUCCUUUACUUUCUUCAACUUUCUUAAUAGCAUCCUCUAUCAUCUUUUUUAUUGUACCUUCUUCUACAACUUCUCCAUCCUCUUCUUCCAAUCCUUCAAUCUCUUCAUGUUCUAUAUUUUCUCCAUUUUCUCCGGAGUUACUCAAUGCUGCAUACCGCGAAGGAGUAGCAAUCAUCACUUGACCAUAUUUCAGAUCGUGUGACAUCGGAGUUCUACUAGCUUUCACUUGUGAAACUCUUUGCCAUUCAUGUAUUUCCCCCUCUUCCUUUUCCUUACCAUUCUCCACUACACUCUCUUGUUCUCCUAUUACUUCCUUCUCCUGCAAUUUCGCAUUAACAACCUCAUGCUCCGUUAAGAUUCUAGUCAAUUCACUUUCCUGCCCAUCUCCAGAAUUUGUCUCCUUAACUUCUUCUUAUAUACUUUCCUUCUCUCUUAUUUCCUUCUGAUCCUCUUUACAAAACAUUGCAUAGU
rnacentral:lncRNA from 1 species